AAGUCUAAAACGACUCUCGGCAACGGAUAUCUCGGCUCUCGCAUCGAUGAAGAACGUAGCGAAAUGCGAUACUUGGUGUGAAUUGCAGAAUCCCGUGAACCAUCGAGUCUUUGAACGCAAGUUGCGCCCCAAGCCUUUAGGCCGAGGGCACGUCUGCCUGGGUGUCACAA
rnacentral:rRNA from 1 species